CAUGCGCGUGGACGGUGGGUCAGAUGCUGUAGCCGCCAUCUGAAGCCGACGUGUGAAACUUCAGCUUCUUAGCAACAGGAUCCGGCGAUUGGACGGAACCUCUCGGAUUCCCCAGUGCUGUGAAAUCCACUUGGGGCCAUCACACCCUUCAUUGCUGUGCUCCCUGGCAGAACUCGAAUGCAGCGUGAGCUGGGCACUUUUCCCAGGGUUUGCUCUAGGUCUGGGUCUCCCAUCAGCUCCCCCGGAGCAGAGCCUGAGGCAAGGAUUCUUGUUCGGGGGCAUCUUCCUCUCAGCACCGUGCUUUGGGAAUCGAGUGAUGGUGCUGAGUGAACCCCUGAGUGAACAUCUGUGGCUUCCUCCCACCUCGUCUCUGGAUGCACUCCUGUUCGAAUCCGGAGCCUUUGGGUCUCAUGUAGCCAAUGAUGUGAAAAAGUGAAGGAUGCUGAGAGGAGAUCAUCCAGAUGUCUUAGAGGAUAAAAAUGAGCGGGCAGAUGAAGAGAUACUCAGGGUGAGGUUUGGAAGGUGCACCAGGCCCACCCCAUGGAUGUGGCUCAGAGAGCCUGGGAAACGUGAGGUCUGUGACCUGGAUCAGGCCCAGAGAGACCUGAGCAGGAGG
rnacentral:lncRNA from 1 species